AUUGAACGCUGGCGGCAUGCCUUACACAUGCAAGUCGAACGGUAACGCGGGGCAACCUGGCGACGAGUGGCGAACGGGUGAGUAAUGCAUCGGAACGUGCCCAGAAGUGGGGGAUAGCCCGGCGAAAGCCGGAUUAAUACCGCAUGAGACCUGAGGGUGAAAGCGGGGGAUCGCAAGACCUCGCGCUUUUGGAUCGGCCGAUGUCAGAUUAGCUAGUUGGUGGGGUAAAGGCCUACCAAGGCGACGAUCUGUAGCUGGUCUGAGAGGACGACCAGCCACACUGGGACUGAGACACGGCCCAGACUCCUACGGGAGGCAGCAGUGGGGAAUUUUGGACAAAGGGCGCAAGCCUGAUCCAGCCAUGCCGCGUGCGGGAAGAAGGCCUUCGGGUUGUAAACCGCUUUUGUCAGGGAAGAAACGCUCUGGGCUAAUACCCUGGGGUAAUGACGGUACCUGAAGAAUAAGCACCGGCUAACUACGUG
rnacentral:rRNA from 1 species